rnacentral:rRNA from 1 species
GACGAACGCUGGCGGCGUGCUUAACACAUGCAAGUCGAACGGUGAAGCGCCUUCCUUUUUGGUGGGUGUGGAUGAGUGGCGAACGGGUGAGUAACACGUGAGUAACCUGCCCCCUUCUUCUGGAUAACCGCAUGAAAGUGUGGCUAAUACGGGAUAUUCUGGGUCUGUCGCAUGAUGGGUCUGGGAAAGAUAUUGUUUCGGUGGGGGAUGGGCUCGCGGCCUAUCAGCUUGUUGGUGGGGUGAUGGCCUACCAAGGCGGUGACGGGUAGCCGGCCUGAGAGGGUGGACGGUCACACUGGGACUGGGACACGGCCCAGACUCCUACGGGAGGCAGCAGUCGGGAAUAUUGCACAAUGGGCGCAAGCCUGAUGCAGCGACGCCGCGUGAGGGAUGGAGGCCUUCGGGUUGUGAACCUCUUUCGCCAGUGAAGCAGGCCUGCCUCGUUUGUGGGUGGGUUGACGGUAGCUGGAUAAGAAGCGCCGGCUAAGUACGUG